rnacentral:tRNA from 1 species
GGUAGAAUAGCCAAGUUGAUAAGGCAGUGGUCUGCAACACCACGAUCGCAGGUUUGAGUCCUGCUUCUACCU